CCUACGGGAGGCAGCAGUAGGGAAUCUUCCGCAAUGGACGAAAGUCUGACGGAGCAACGCCGCGUGAGUGAUGAAGGCUUUCGGGUCGUAAAACUCUGUUGUUAGGGAAGAACAAGUGCUAGUUGAAUAAGCUGGCACCUUGACGGUACCUAACCAGAAAGCCACGGCUAACUACGUGCCAGCAGCCGCGGUAAUACGUAGGUGGCAAGCGUUAUCCGGAAUUAUUGGGCGUAAAGCGCGCGCAGGUGGUUUCUUAAGUCUGAUGUGAAAGCCCACGGCUCAACCGUGGAGGGUCAUUGGAAACUGGGAGACUUGAGUGCAGAAGAGGAAAGUGGAAUUCCAUGUGUAGCGGUGAAAUGCGUAGAGAUAUGGAGGAACACCAGUGGCGAAGGCGACUUCUGGUCUGUAACUGACACUGAGCGCGAAAGCGUGGGGAGCAAACAGGAUUAGAUACCCUGGUAGUC
rnacentral:rRNA from 1 species